rnacentral:rRNA from 1 species
CCUACGGGGGGCAGCAGUGGGGAAUAUUGGACAAUGGGGGGAACCCUGAUCCAGCCAUGCCGCGUGUGUGAAGAAGGCCCUCGGGUUGUAAAGCACUUUCAGUGAGGAAGAACGCCUGGUGGUUAAUACCCAUCAGGAAAGACAUCACUCACAGAAGAAGCACCGGCUAACUCCGUGCCAGCAGCCGCGGUAAUACGGAGGGUGCGAGCGUUAAUCGGAAUUACUGGGCGUAAAGCGCGCGUAGGUGGCUUGAUAAGCCGGUUGUGAAAGCCCCGGGCUCAACCUGGGAACGGCAUCCGGAACUGUCAAGCUAGAGUGCAGGAGAGGAAGGUAGAAUUCCCGGUGGAGCGGUGAAAUGCGUAGAGAUCGGGAGGAAUACCAGUGGCGAAGGCGGCCUUCUGGACUGACACUGACACUGAGGUGCGAAAGCGUGGGUAGCAAACAGGAUUAGAUACCCCGGUAGUC